rnacentral:rRNA from 1 species
AGGGUUUUGAUCCUGGCUCAGAUUGAACGCUGGCGGCAUGCCUAACACAUGCAAGUCGAACGGAAACGAUGGGAGCUUGCUCCCAGGCGUCGAGUGGCGGACGGGUGAGUAAUGCUUAGGAAUCUGCCCAGUAGUGGGGGACAACUCGAGGAAACUCGAGCUAAUACCGCAUACGCCCUACGGGGGAAAGCGGAGGAUCUUUCGGGACUUCGCGCUAUUGGAUGAGCCUAAGUCGGAUUAGCUUGUUGGUGAGGUAAAAGCUCACCAAGGCGACGAUCCGUAGCUGGUCUGAGAGGACGAUCAGCCACACUGGGACUGAGACACGGCCCAGACUCCUACGGGAGGCAGCAGUGGGGAAUAUUGCACAAUGGGCGAAAGCCUGAUGCAGCAAUGCCGCGUGUGUGAAGAAGGCCUGCGGGUUGUAAAGCACUUUCAGUAGAGAAGAAAAGUUUAGGGUUAAUACCCCUGAAUCUUGACGUUACCUACAGAAGAAGCUCCGGCUAACUCCGUGCCAGCAGCCGCGGUAAUACGGAGGGAGCGAGCGUUUAAUCGGGAAUUACUGGGCGGUAAAGCGCGCGGUAGGUGGCUCUUUUAAGUCGGAUGUGAAAAGCCCUGGGCCUCAACCUGGGAAUUUGCAUUCGAAACUGC